GCAUGCAGGUGGUUCAUUAAGUCAGAUGUGAAAGCCCGGGGCGCAACCUCGGAACUGCAUUUGAAACUGGUGAACUAGAGUACUGUAGAGGGGGGUAGAAUUUCAGGUGUAGCGGUGAAAUGCGUAGAGAUCUGAAGGAAUACCAGUGGCGAAGGCGGCCCCCUGGACAGAUACUGACACUCAGAUGCGAAAGCGUGGGGAGCAAACAGGAUUAGAUACCCUGGUAGUCCACGCCGUAAACGAUGUCUACUUGGAGGUUGUGGCCUUGAGCCGUGGCUUUCGGAGCUAACGCGUUAAGUAGACCGCCUGGGGAGUACGGUCGCAAGAUUAAAACUCAAAUGAAUUGACGGGGGCCCGCACAAGCGGUGGAGCAUGUGGUUUAAUUCGAUGCAACGCGAAGAACCUUACCAAUCGAAUUCCCGCGGCCGCCAUGGCGGCCGGGAGCAUGCGACGUCGGGCCCAAUUCGCCCUAUAGUGAGUCGUAUUACAAUUCACUGG
rnacentral:rRNA from 1 species